CCCCCGGGUCCGACCCCGAGCAGUGAUGGCCCCCCCAACCCUGUCCAACCCUAAGCAGUGGAGCCCCUGACCCCACCCGCGUCUGACCCUGAGCAGUCCAAGGGCGCCUGGCUGGCUUGGACCAUCCGUUAAGCCUCUGACUCUUCAUUUCGGCCCAGGUCAUGAUGUCAAGGUCAUGAGGUCGAGCCCUGCGUCCUUCACGCUGGGCUUGGAGUCUACUUGAGAUUCUCGCUCCCUCCCUCUCUUUAAACAAAAUUAAGAGAAAAUAGUCCUCCCUUCAGCACAUAUGUCGUCACGCACGGAAAUCAAGCUCUCAGACAAGGAUCUGAGCGCUGUGCGGGACCGCGUCUGCGAGAGCAGCGCCAGCUGGAUUCCGCACUGAGCAUUUGUUCUUAUCAGAAAAGCAAGGACAGAUGCCUCCAGGCGUGGGACAGGAGUACAAAGGGGCAAAUACCUUGAAGCCCUCGAGCUGCCUGCACUCUCCCAGACGCGCAGGCAUGCAGAGCGGCUGUCACGGGCUGGUGGAGUUACCGACCUCAGGCUGAAGCGUGGAAGCCGGUGUUUGAGUUCCUCGCGCCAGCUAUCAGCCGAGCGGGUGGCCACAGAGGACCUUGUGGAGAAAGUGCAGCAGCGUGACCUCUCCCCCAGGUCGUGCUUUUCUUCUUUGCUGAUGCCUAGUAGAUAUAUUGGGGAUCAAAGCCAGUUAGCUGAAUUAUUCUUUUCCGACCCUCUCAUAGGAGCUGCAAUCCAAGAGAGAGGUGAGAGGCGACCCUGUGUUUGGGUUGGGCUGGGAGGAAAAGCCUUUCAAGAACAAGGCAUUUAUCAGGCAGAACUUGGCAGAUUACCCUGUAAGGGGAGUGAGGGGUGUUCAAGGCAAGGACAGUUACGCGGGCAGAGCGAUCUCUGCGGUCUGACAAAGUAGAGGUUCGUCGUUGGAAUAACAGAUCUCGUUGGUUUCCUCGAGGCGUCAUCCAUCGUGUGGACGCAGGGUUUGGAUCUCCCUGUAAUAAGUUAAAGAGGGAGGUCAGCUGGCAAGUAGGAAUUUCUAGAGUGGGACGCAGCUGUGCCCAAGGAGUGAGCUAAAAGUGAAGUGGCGACGGAAAACGGACAGCGAUCUGUCGAGCAGUGACUGUCUGCGACGCGAGCCUAUACUCCAGAUACUCCGUGGAGCUGCCGGUGGUGUUUUCUCAGGAGCGGUGAGCAAACCCGCGGCGGUGACUGAAUCAAUAAGAAAUCGUAAACACGUACGGAGAAGGGUGUUAUUAUCUGAAGCAAGCAGAUAUCUUCCAUGUCAUGAUGAAUCCGUAUGCGUGGGAAUCUAUUUCUGGUGGGUUGAAGGGCUGCCCUG
rnacentral:lncRNA from 1 species